rnacentral:rRNA from 1 species
GAUGAACGCUAGCGGCAGGCCUAAUACAUGCAAGUCGAACGGGAUCUAUUUGGAGCUUGCUCUGAAUAGUGAGAGUGGCGCACGGGUGCGUAACGCGUGAGCAACCUACCCAUAUCAGGGGGAUAGCCUCUCGAAAGAGAGAUUAAUACCGCAUAACAUCAAUAAAUGGCAUCAUUUAUUGAUCAAAUAUUUAUAGGAUAUGGAUGGGCUCGCGUGACAUUAGUUAGUUGGUGAGGUAAUGGCUCACCAAGACGAUGAUGCAUAGCCGAGUUGAGAGACUGAUCGGCCACAAUGGGACUGAGACACGGCCCAUACUCCUACGGGAGGCAGCAGUAGGGAAUCUUCCACAAUGGGCGAAAGCCUGAUGGAGCAACGCCGCGUGUGUGAUGAAGGGUUUCGGCUCGUAAAACACUGUUGUAAGAGAAGAAUGACAUUGAGAGUAACUGUUCAAUGUGUGACGGUAUCUUACCAGAAAGGAACGGCUAAAUACGUGCCAGCAGCCGCGGUAAUACGUAUGUUCCAAGCGUUAUCCGGAUUUAUUGGGCGUAAAGCGAGCGCAGACGGUUAUUUAAGUCUGAAGUGAAAGCCCUCAGCUCAACUGAGGAAUUGCUUUGGAAACUGGAUGACUUGAGUGCAGUAGAGGAAAGUGGAACUCCAUGUGUAGCGGUGAAAUGCGUAGAUAUAUGGAAGAACACCAGUGGCGAAGGCGGCUUUCUGGACUGUAACUGACGUUGAGGCUCGAAAGUGUGGGUAGCAAACAGGAUUAGAUACCCUGGUAGUCCACACCGUAAACGAUGAGUGCUAGGUGUUUGGGGGUUUCCGCCCCUAAGUGCCGGAGCUAACGCAUUAAGCACUCCGCCUGGGGAGUACGACCGCAAGGUUGAAACUCAAAGGAAUUGACGGGGACCCGCACAAGCGGUGGAGCAUGUGGUUUAAUUCGAAGCAACGCGAAGAACCUUACCAGGUCUUGACAUCCCUUGACAACUCCGGAGAUGGAGCGUUCCCUUCGGGGACAAGGUGACAGGUGGUGCAUGGUUGUCGUCAGCUCGUGUCGUGAGAUGUUGGGUUAAGUCCCGCAACGAGCGCAACCCUUAUUACUAGUUGCCAGCAUUUAGUUGGGCACUCUAGUGAGACUGCCGGUGACAAACCGGAGGAAGGUGGGGAUGACGUCAAAUCAUCAUGCCCCUUAUGACCUGGGCUACACACGUGCUACAAUGGCGUAUACAACGAGUUGCCAACCCGCGAGGGUGAGCUAAUCUCUUAAAGUACGUCUCAGUUCGGAUUGUAGGCUGCAACUCGCCUACAUGAAGUCGGAAUCGCUAGUAAUCGCGGAUCAGCACGCCGCGGUGAAUACGUUCCCGGGUCUUGUACACACCGCC